AACGAACGCUGGCGGCAUGCCUAACACAUGCAAGUCGAACGAGACCUUCGGGUCUAGUGGCGCACGGGUGCGUAACGCGUGGGAAUCUGCCCUUGGGUUCGGAAUAACAGUUAGAAAUGACUGCUAAUACCGGAUGAUGUCUUCGGACCAAAGAUUUAUCGCCCAAGGAUGAGCCCGCGUAAGAUUAGCUAGUUGGUGAGGUAAUGGCUCACCAAGGCGACGAUCUAGCUGGUCUGAGAGGAUGAUCAGCCACACUGGGACUGAGACACGGCCCAGACUCCUACGGGAGGCAGCAGUGGGGAAUAUUGGACAAUGGGCGAAAGCCUGAUCCAGCAAUGCCGCGUGAGUGAUGAAGGCCUUAGGGUUGUAAAGCUCUUUUACCAGGGAUGAUAAUGACAGUACCUGGAGAAUAAGCUCCGGCUAACUCCGUGCCAGCCGCCGCCGU
rnacentral:rRNA from 1 species